ensembl:snoRNA small nucleolar RNA, C/D box 4A
GGUGCAAAUGAUGAUUCCAUGCGACCAAAGCCUGAGAGCUGGUGAUUACAAUCUUACUAGUGACUGAUGUACC